rnacentral:lncRNA from 1 species
AAUCACUGCACUGCCGAACUCACAAAAAACAGUGAUAACAUUUGGGAACUAGCUCAUGGUUCAGGAUAUAACAUAGCUUAUGUUGUUAUCGGCUCCCCGACUAGUGUUUCGUGUUACAAUGUCUCAUCUAUUUUGGUCUAAGCUUUCGCUGCCUGACAUUGCUGACUCACUUGCUCUCUGCCUCCUAGGUUUGCUUUAUUCAUGGAUUCUUCUUACUGCUUCUUUUCACACUCUGAAUGCUAUAAUGCACAGCCAGGAGGUUUGGCAUCUGCACAACUAGGAGAAUAUAAAAGAUGCCCAAGCUCUGCCUUCUCCUUCACGGUGAUUUCUCCAACCCCUCCACUUUCUAUUAAGACCAUCCUUUGUUCUCUGUCUGAGUUGGAAAUAUUAUUGUUUUGUUUUGGGCAAAUGACUCCAAAAUCUCCGCUGUGGAUGGAAAGUUUUGUGACUAGAGCAGAAGGUGAGUCAGAGAUGGAGUCCUCUGGUUGCCCUAUCCCAACAUGAGCGUCCCCAUUUCUUUGAGGGGUAGGAGCAGGUGGCUUCUCAAACAGUCUGUUCUUUCUCUUCCCUCCCUGCAGGCAUGGCUCCUGCUCAUCUUGGGCAGUCUUCACAGCUGGUUUGUGAUGAUGCUCCUCAGAUGUCUUUCCCCUGGACACUCUUGCUGGGCAUCCUUAAAGAGAUAGAAAGUGUGGCCUGUACCUGGCAAGGUGCACAUGCAGUCCCCUGCAAGGAGGAGGCAGUCUGCAAGCCAAGAAGAGGAUUCUCACCAGGAACUGGAUCUGCUGGCACCUUGAUCUUGGACUUCCCAGCCUCCAGAACUAUGGGAAAUAAAGGUCUGUUGUUUAAGCCAUCUAGUCUAUGGUGUUUAGUUAUAACAGUCUGAGCUGACUAAGACGGUGGGGGCUGCUGACAUGGGCAUGGUAAUAACUCUAACCUCCUGGGCCGUAGUGAGUCUUGACUCAGGUAAUGGAUGUGCAGGUGAGCUGCGGACAAAGAUCCUUACUGUUGUUCUUAUUGUUGAGAAAUUAACUAGUAGAGACAGAAAGUUGAAUCUCCUUUGUCCAUUUACUCUGUGAUUAAUGCUGAGCCCCUUGUUUUUGCUGUGUCCAGCCUUCAGAGUUCUGGAAAUACAAC